rnacentral:misc_RNA from 1 species
CAGAGGUGCAAAACUCCCACAAACCAUCGCGAAUCUUACCCGUACGGUUGCCUCGGCGCUGGCGGUCCGGAAGGCCCUCGGGCCCCCCGGAUCCUCGGGUCUCCCGCUCGCGGGAGGCUGCCCGCCGGAGUGCCGAAACCAAACUCUUGAUAUUUUAUGUCUCUCUGAGUAAACUUUUAAAUAAGUCA